AAAUCGUGCAUGAAACGAGUAAUCGAUAAAACGUCACAGAACGGUCUAAAAUAGUACCUAAUUAAUGCCGGAUCGCCCGGAUCCCGGCUUUAGUGCUUUACAUUAUUGUUAUCGUAAUAUAAACUAAUAUACUUCAUUUUUAUAAAUAAGUGUAAAUCACGAUUUACGAUUCGUGCUUAUACUUAUGAUUAUUCUAUUCUGCGUAAUGAUGCAUCUUUAUCUUGAUAAAAAAAUAUUAAGUAUACCACGGCUGAGGGGGGGUGUUAUUACACCUGUAACACCCCCCCUGGCUACGCGCCUGCAGGCAUGUACUCUUGUGCAAUGUUUCUUACCGACCCACAUCUAUAAUUUUGUACAUUGGUACAGCAUAGUUUUCUUGCACUCGCCAGUCGGCUAUGAGUUGUUUAAUUGUGCUGGAUUAUGGUGUUCAAAAAUUAGACAGAAAAUGACUACCUAAUUAAAAUUGAUAAAGAUGACAAGGCCCCAUGAUUUUAUGAACUUCACAAUGCAUGAACUUACGAGCCCUGCAGUCAUCAGUGAUGAGUUUUAUUAUACCAACAUCAAUUUUUCUAAAGAAUACAAUAUUUCUGUGAAUUAAUAAUUAUUUAUAAUAAACCUAGUUCAAUGAACAUUUAAAAAAAAAUACUUUAUAUGUGUGUUCAAAUAUAGAUUCACUAUUUUUAUACUUUAAAUGUUGGCACUGAGAUACAGUUAUUUAUUUAUCAUAUUAUAACAGAGAAAAAGUAGUUGAUAUUACAUUUUUACAUUAAGAAUGUUAUAUGUAUUACUUCUUCUUUGGGUUUUAAAACAAUUUGUUAUUAUGAGCGAUAAUUUUUUGGAAAUUUAUUUUACAAAUUUUAAUGUUUGAUGACGAUUAUAAUUGUGAACAUUUUAUUGAUUUACCUGAAUUACAAAUGUUAAUAUUUUAAUUGUCGGCAUGUUUACAUAGGCCUUGUGUACUUACAUUCUAAUUAUAAGUAAAACUAAUGUAA